UUUGAAUGUGGUUUAGUUUGGUGACUUGUAUGAUGACUUAGUGAGUUGAAAUUUACUAAGUGUAGGUAUUUCAAAGGUGAAUUUUUUAUUUUGAAUGUAGUUAAGUUUGGUGACUUGGGAGGUGACCUAGUGACUUGAUAAUUGAUUAAGUGCAGAUACUUUAAAAGUGAAUUUUUGUUUUGAAUGUCGUUUAGUUUGGUGACUUGGGUGACGACUUAAUGAGUUGAAAUUUACUAAGUGUAGGUACUUCAAAGGUAAUUUUUUUGUUUUGGAUGUACUUAAGUUUGGUGACUUGGGAGGUGACUUAGUGUCUUGAAAUUGAUUAAGUGUAAGUACUUUAAAGGUGAAUUUUUGUUUUGAAUGUGGUAUAGUUUGGUGACUUGGGUGACGACUUAGUGAGUUGGAAUUUACUAAGUGUAUGUACUUUAAAGGUGAAUUUUUUGUUUUGAAUGUAGUUAAGUUUGGUGACUUGGUAAGUGACUUAGUCACUUGAAAUUGAUAAGGUACUUGUACUUUAAAGGUGAAUUUGUUAAAGGUGUCAGAUGAUUUGUUGAACAUGCUAAGACACUUGAUAUUUGGUCACAUUUUUGGGCCAUUUGUUGUCCUUGUGUUAGAUGUGAUGGUAUAAGUCUUUUAAAAGAAGAAUUUAUGAAGGAACAUCUUUAUAGGAGGGGGUUUCAUGAGGACUUUUUAAGAUUGCGUACUAUUAAUGACGAUGCUGAGCAAAAUAAAUUUGUCGUUGGAGAAAGUAUAGGUCUACAGGGCAUAAUGAAUAUCAAGAUACUAGGAUGACAGAAAUGGUGCACGAUGCUUUUAGGAUGCAACACACGGGCGACUUUAGGGAAAAUAUUGAAGAUACUCCUAAUAGAGAAGCAAGUAAAUUCUAUGAACAAUUGCAUGCUGCUAGUCAUACUUUGUUUGACGGGUGUUCGCACUCUUGUUUGUCUGUUGCUGUUAGAUUAUUAUGUAUUAAAUCUGACUGGAAUAUUGCUGAAGGAGGAAUGAACUCAAUGGUAGACCUUAUUAAAAAGUUAGUUGACUCUAGCUUAGAGGUUUCUGAUCCUUUCUAUAAGGCAAAAAGAUUAGUGUCAAAGUUAGGUUUCUCCUCGGUUAGAAUUGAUUGUUGUGAAAAUGGCUACAUGUUAUACUUUAAGGAAGAUGCUAACCUAGAGUACUGUAAGUUUUAUCAACACCCUCUAUAUAAGCAUGGUUGUAGUGAAAUUAAAAUUGCUAUUAAGGCGAUGCAUUAUUUACCUCUAAUACCAAGGUUGAAGAGGUUGUAUGCUUCAAAUAGCUCAGCUCCUCAUAUGAGAUAGCAUAGUGAAAAUAGAAGGCCUACUGGUGUUAUGUGCCAUCCAUCUGAUGGAGAGGCUUGGAAGCAUUUUGAUGCAACUUAUCCAGAUUUUGCAGCUGAGCCACGAAAUAUUCGUUUGGAAUUAUGUGCGGAUGGCUUCUCUCUUUUUUUAGUUGGUGCUGCGCUAUAUUUAUGUUGGCCUGUAUUUAUCACCUCUUAUAAUCUUUCUCUUAAAAUGUUGAUGACUAGUCCCUAUAUAUUUCUGAAUAGUGUUGUUCCUGGCUUGUGUAAUCCUAAAAGCGGAAUAGAUGUCUACUUGCAACCUUUGAUCGAUGAACUUUAAAUUUUAUGGCAUGAGGUGGUUGAAACUUAGGACAUCUCACUUAAAUAGAAUUUCAAUCUGCGUGCAUAUCUAAUGUGGAAUGUUAAUGAUUUUCCUGCUUAUGGAAUGUUGUCUGGGUGGAUGACAGCUGAAAAAUUGGCUUGUCCAUACUGCAUGGAAAAAACAAAAUCUUUCACAUUGAGACAUGAUAGGAAAAAUUUAUGGUUUGAUUGUCAUCGUUGUUUUUUGCCACCUAAUCAUGAAUUUAGGAGACUCAAGAAUGCAUUUAGAAGGAAUAGAAGGGAACAUGAUGGUCCACCUCUAAGGCUAUUUGGUCAUGACAUCUGGGAGAUAGUUCAGGAUUUGCCUAAAGUUAGCGAGGAGUCAUUGUAUAGGCUUGAUGGGUAUGGCGUUUCGCAUAACUGGACUAAGAAAAGUAUAUUUUGAGAGUUAGAAUAUUGGUCAGGUAAUUUAAGUAUAAAUAAUGUUGAUGUCAUGCAUACUGAGAAGAACUAUUUUGACAACUUGUUCAACACAGUUAUGGAUGUCACCGGCAAGAAAAAGGAUAAUCCUAAGACCAGACUUGACUUACUAGAAUAUUGCAAGCGCAGAGAAUUACACGAACAGGAGGGGCCUAAUGGCAAUGUUCUUAAGACCAAUGCUAGUUUUACAUUCAAGUUGGACCAAAAGCGUCAAAUAUGUGAGCGGGUCCAAAGUUUGAAGAUGCCCGAUGGAUAUGCCUCAAAUUUGGGAAAGAGGGUUGAUAUGGCACAAGGAAUCUUGCAUGGAAUGGAAAGCCAUAAUUGUCAUAUUUUCAUUGAACAAUUACUUCCAAUUGCUUUUAUUGGUUUACCUGAAAACAUAUGGAAACCAAUAGCAGAGAUUAGUUUGUUCUUCAAAGACUUAUGUGUCACCAUAUUAAACGAAGAAAAUCUAGCAUGAAUGAAAAGUAAUAUUGUUGUUAUCACUAACAAGUUGGAGAAGAUUUUUCCGCUAGUAUUCUUCGAUGGAUGGAACAUCUUUCUAUUCACCUUGUGCACGAAGCUCGGCUAGGAGGUCCAGUUUAAGCUAGGUGGAUGUAUUUAUUCGAACGGGCAAUUGAAAAAUUGAAAAGGGGUCCAAAAAACAAACAUAGGGUGGAAGACUAUAGUUGAGGAAUAUCUUACAAGAAAAACGUCUUAAUUUUGUUCAUGAUACUUUUGUGAUGAAGUUGCUUGUUCAAGAAAUAGACCGAACCGUCAUCAGAACGAUGAGAAUGAGCCUCAUUUGCAAUCGAUAUCAAUUUUCAAUCAAUCUGGUUGUAAGGCUAAAAAGACCAUAUUUCUCUGGCUCACUCCUAUGGAGCGCAAAUUAGCAACUUUGUAUGUCUUGCUGAAUUGUACGAAAGUUAAACCCUCUCUGAAGUAAGAAGAUUAAAAAUUUAACAUAUCUUAUUUAUUUACUCAUUCCUUUAAGGAAAUUAAUUGUGUUUUCGUGUUGGAUCAUCAGUUUAUUUAAGACUCAGUUCCACGAAAAUCAAGCGUA